GCAGCUUGGAACUGGGGAAAGCAGGGUAGCGACAGUCAGGGAGGAGUGGUGCGGAGCUGUGGGAAAGAGCUGUGGUAGAGGGAGGAGCCCAGUCGACCCAGGGAAACGCAGUGUGGCUGAUUUCUGUUGACUGAUCUUCAAACUCACUGAUUCUUUCCUUGGCUGUGUUGAAAGUGCUCAUGAGCCCAUGGAAGAAAUUGCUGAAGGGAGACAUUUUAGGAGAUUCCUUUUCAAAUAAAUCCGUCACUACUCUUCAAGGAGAAAAGCUCUCAAGGACAAGCAAAGAUGGCUGCGACUGAGGGAGACUGUUAUAGGACCUGUCACAUAACUGUUCCCUGACCUCUGUUUUAGGGUGGAAAAGAAACAUCUCAACAGAGAACCCUGUGAAAAGUGAGAAAAAUCUCAAAGUCCUGAACUCCCAUCCCUACUUCAGAAAGAACUCCUGUUCACAGCAGCUAAAGCCAGCCCAAAGUCCAGCUCCUUCCCAAGAACAAUUCUGUUGGGAUGUUGGAUCCACACCUGGCCAAGCCUUGUGGUCUCCAAAUGUACUUGUUCAGAGUGGGAUUCUCAAGCUGUGUAUAGUACUCUCGACAUGAAAUCUAUGUGGUUCCCUGAAGCUCCAAGUCGAGAUGGACCGUCUCCAGUUUAUUGUGUUGAAAGAAAGGACAGCACUUCACACAGAUCAAGUGUGAGCACUGGAAAAUAAACCUGAAAAUCUGGACAGGGAAAGGCCCAACCAAUAGCAGUUGUCCUGGAAUUGUGGAGCUCUCAAUAAUAAAUGUCUCGGUGGUGUGUUUAUUGCAGUUCCAAUCCAAUUCAGUUCAACAAAUUUUUGUUGAAUGCCUGCUGUGAACAAGAUAAAGAAUGAAUAAGACAUGGCUCUCACCCUCCAGGACUUCACAGUCUAACAGGGGAAUCAACAUGUACACUGUUAAUUCUCAACAAGGAAGACAAUAAUAAAGACUGACACUGAGGGCCAUGCAGCAACUGAGCAACAAGAGAAUACCCCAUCUGCAACCCGGGCUGGGAUAAUACUUACGGUGAGAGAACAUGCGUAAAUGAUCUACCAACUUGACAGGAACGGAUUCCAAAUCUGGUACUCUGUGGCCUCAUUCCUUGCCAGUGUGCCCCUGGAAGGGUAAGCCCAUGGUGAGCGCCUUAGUUUGUUAGUGGAAAGGAAGCCUUGGUUUGGGGAGAAAGUAUUUGGAUGGCCUAUUAAGAAGUCUUUCCAUUUUCAAUAGAGUAGGACAGUCUGCCUCAGAGCCUGUGGUAUGGUCUUUUCUCUGGAUGAGCACAAUGACUCCCUCUCACACAUUUUUCUGGUAUUUAUGCUGCAUGAGCCCCUGCCACUCUCCUGAAUAAACUUCCAGGUACUACCUGCAUGCUGUGUUCCUGUGGAGGAAUGGCAGUAAUCUCUGCAAAGGUAAACAAACUGGAGCUUCUGUGGAUAAAGCGUAAAUGCAGUGAAGUGUGUGUGACUGUAAGAUUUAAUGCCUCCACAGGUGAUUUUUUUGGAGGGGGGAUCUGGUAUUUAAUCAAGUCUAGAGUCAUUAUGUAAAUUGAAUCACCUUGCAACACACUAGUAAUUUUUUUAUCGCAUCGCCUUUUCAUUUGACACUGCCUAGAUACAAGUUGAGCUUGGAAUUUCAGAGGUAGAGCGCUGCUGAUUGGAGACAUAUUAAGGAAAAUGUACUAUGGA